UUGUGGGGCUUGUGAUCUGUUUAGUCAUCGGACUCACUUUGUUUUUCCAUGCUGUGUCUCAAGAAGAAGAAAGACACAGGAAGAAGAAUUCCAGACAAUCCCCAACAGUACUUCAGAAAGAAUAAACAUCCACCUAAACCAGAAGAACAGCUGCAGGGUGUGGAUGUGGUAAAUAAACACAGAGACAGUCAACCUGACACUGCUGAGGAAAGGUCCAGGUUCAAUGAAAUCCAGUUGGAAGCUAGCACAGUGUAAGUUGAGCA